ACACUCAUGGUGAAGCGGUUAUCAUGCUUGCCUUCCAGUCUAUGCUUACGUAAUCAGCUUUGCGUAAUUUAGGUGAGCAAGCGGCAGGGGUUCGACUCCCCUUGAGUGUA